rnacentral:rRNA from 1 species
GCUUGUCUCAAAGAUUAAGCCAUGCAUGUCUUAGUGUAAAUAACUCUUAUGAAACUGCGAAUGGCUCAUUAAAUCAGUUAUCAAAUACGUGAUGGUCGCCUACUACAUGGAUAACCGUGGUAAUUCUAGAGCUAAUACAUGCUAUAUGCCCGGCUUCUGGCAGGGCUGUAUUUAUUAGAUACUAAACCAGUGUCGCAAGACAUUGUGGUGAAUCACAGUAACUGAUCGAAUCGGCGCGCAAGCGGCGAUAAAUCAUUCAAGUUUCUGCCCUAUCAGCUUUCGAUGGUAGUGUAUUGGACUACCAUGGCAGUCACGGGUAACGGAGAAUUAGGGUUCGGUUCCGGAGAGGGAGCCUGAGAAACGGCUACCACAUCUAAGGAAGGCAGCAGG